UCGCUCAGGCAUCACCUCGCCAGCAGCUCUCGAAAGGGCACAGGGCUGCCAGGUGGGUUCAAACGCUUCUCUUGUGUACGUAACACAAUGCUGAAGUCACAGCAUUAACUUUUCCAGCAGGAAAAUUUUCCUCACAUAACGGAGCCUCCCAGGCUUGCUUAGUCCAAGCAUUUGAACAGGGAUGUCUCCUCAGCCUUAACUGGGAAGAGCCGGGAGGGUCCCAAAUCUUGUCCUGGCAUCUUCAGCGUCCCCGGGAUGGUGUAGGGGAGCGCUUUGAAUCAGGCAGUGCUCUAAACCUGCGCACGCUGGGUGGUCAGCUGCACUCCGCACCGGCCCCUUGCUGGCAGCACAGUGUGGACAGACAGACGUGUGUGUGUGUCACAGGGCGGCAGCAGCAGCACAGACAGAUGUGUGCCCAUCACACAGCAGCAGGGCAGCACCAGCAGCACAGACAGACGUGUGCCCAUCACACAGCAGCAGGGCAGCAGCAGUGACACCGGUCCCCAUGCCCCAGCCAGAGGGGAGGGUGCUGCACUGCCCAGCGCAGGGACUUUGGGCCAGUUCUCCUGCUGCCGAGCCCCAGUGCAGGAUCAGCCUUCAACAAGCAAUUUCAGUGCUUCAACUCCAAACUCCGGUAUCUUGUGCUGAGGCUGGAUUCAAUGGGAUGAGUGGGGACAGGCAGGCGUGACGGCUGUGCGAGUGAUGCUGCGUCCAGCUUGGGUGCUCCCUGCGCUCCCACUGCCCAGAGGUGCGCAGGGCCCCAGGGGCCUCCCCACUGCUCUCCCCAUCCUGCCCCAUGCCCAGGCUGCCGGAUGCAGGGAGGUGAGCAGAUGGAGACUUUGCUGAACUCAAGACUACGCAGGUGCUCUGAUACAAACAAGCAGUGAUAAUUUAUAUGUUUCUAUUUUAAGUGUGAAGGAAAAUACACAGACACCUCCAUUCACAAGAGGAGAGAGCCGUUUGGCUGCCAAGCAUUGUAUCCUUGUCAUCUACUUGCAGCUGUACUCUGCAUCUUGCUCUUUUUUUUUUUUCCUUUGAGCUAUAACAGCAUGAAAUAAGCAGCAUUGCUGCUGUUCUGUUUGCUCCUUGCACAGCCAUGGAACAGAGAUCACAUACCAGCUGAAACAUCCUGGCAGUACAUUUUAAAUGAAUCAUAAAAUUGCACCUUAGAGAGUAGGGGGGUGAAGAAAAAGCUGUGCUUUCUGACCAGGAAGGAGUUGGCGGUGGGAGCGAGAAUCUGGUUAGUGGCUACAGGAUCAGCCGCGGAAGCAGGACAUCUGCGUCUGCCCAUGUCCAGUUGCAGACAAAUCACUUCCUCCCGCAUCUGUCCCUAUUGUGCGCGGGGACAGCGCAGCGGCCCCGCUCGCACUCCCAGCCUUCCGCUGGAUGGGCUCCUGCUAGCACGCCAGCACCCGCCGCCCAGGUGAGCACACGGGGUUUAGAGGAGGGGCAGGAGGCAUCGCUCAGCGACAUCCAUUUCUGACCGCUCCCGCUGCCUGCUGCUUUCCUGGAAAACCUGUGUGGCUGCAGCGGCUCAGCCCCUGCGCACCCUCACUCCAGGAGAUGGAGACGGCCCUGAUCGUGCCAAAAGACGCUGGCUCACGGCCGUCCUGCACUCGUCAGGAGAAGCUGAACAUGAGGAAGCGAGUGCUCGCAGGGCGACAGCCCUCCCCAGCUCCCAGCACCCAGGGCACGCACCCACGCGGCAGCACCCCGAGGAGCCCCCCCACGCCGGGCAAGUGGCCCUGCUGUUGUGCAACCCUGGGUAAGGACAUGUAGAUGAGAACACCCAGCCCCCGCCUCAAGACACGGAGCCAGGCUCAAGCCUUGUCUUUAGAAGCCGGGGUGCUCAGGGAACCCAGCCUUGCCGUGGCUCCCACCCUCACGGGGUGUGGAGGAACAGCCGCCCGCACACCUCCCAGUGCCGUUAGGUUGCCGUUCCUGCUUGAGGCACCUAACCAGCAAGGUCCUGGGCUGCAAUGCUUCAUUUUUAGAUUUGCAGGCUCACUAAAAGGCAUUUAAAGACUGGGAAGCUUUAACUUUCUCCAGGGCUCGCCUUGUUUAUGUUAUAUGGCAUUUUCAGUCUUAGCCUGAAAUACAAGCUAGAAGAUUUUGAAUUAAUAAGAGAAGAAGACAAGCCCACCGUGUGAUGAGAAGCUGUCAGGGGCUGAGGCUGCUCCAGAUGUGCCAUACUGUGUAUUUUCAUGCUGGGAAGCAAUUCCACCUGGGAGCAGAGUGACAGAGAUGUGAAGCAGAGAAAGGCAGGCAGAGCAGCACGGAGACUAGGGUGAAGCAGUCCUGGCUGAAGAUGAGCCCGCGGGUGGACAUUGCCCACCUGCUGCUCCCAAAGUAAGGCCGGGAUGGGGACGUAGCUUGGGCUAUCAAGUGCCUGCAGGUUUAAAACCCUCUCGGUAAGAUACACAUACCCAUGUGCUUAUCCCUCCUGAGAACUCCUCCUUCCCCGGGGUGGAGGCAGAGCAGCUGGGAGAGCACGGGCUGCCCACCACAGCCCCCAGCUCCCGCCUCACCCUGCUCUAUCCCUGCACACCCCUCCACACAGGCUGGCACCGCAGCCCUGCCGCUGCCAGCACAGCACCGGGGAACGGCUGAAGGGCACCACGUUUGCAGGACCAGGAAUGUGGGAAGGAGAAAUGCAGGAGAGCAGGGUUUUGGCCCAAAGCACCCUGGGAACAGCACACGUUUUGGUGAUGUGGAGGAUUAAGAUGGGGAAUGCAGGUCAGGCUGCUGCGAGGUGGGGAGCAGUGGGAGGGGGCCGCAGGGCUGGGCACAUAUUGAACACCAGCAACACCUGUGAUGCAGAUGUGUGAGUAUUUUUCUCACAGGCACGCUUUCGCAGCAGCCAGGCAAGAAUUUGCAUUCGCUACCCUGGUUUCUGUCCGUAGAAGCCGGCCCCAGCCAGCUCUCGCCCCUGAUGGGGUGAGAAAAGGUGAGUGGAAACUCAGCGCAGGCACGCAGGGCAGGAGCAGGGCGCAGGGCGGGCUGUGGUCUCGCUGGGCAGCCCCGCGCUGCUGCGAGCAGGCCUGGUGCUGGGGGGCUGCCAGGGGUGCGCAGAGCCCCCGGGGCACAGGAAGGAAAUGAGCUCAGCGCCCUGCACGCCAGCUCUCACACAGCUCUCACACUCCAACAACCGGCGACAUCAAAACAUCAGCAGCCGCCUCAAGACGCCCGUGUGCGGGCGGGCAGCCACGUGCGAUAGCAGCCCUCCGUGCUCCACAGGGUGCUUCUGGGCCCCGGAGCAGGGAGGCCUGGCUGUCCUGCCCCAGACCGGGGGCUGAGAGGAGCCUGCAGCCCCGCCGGGCUCCGAAGCCCAAUGUUACCUGCCUCAGGGUGCUGGCAGAUGAGAAUUUUUGUCAUUCCAAACCUUCCAGAGCAGUCAGGCCUGAGCUGUGCAGCACGGGGCGGCCGGGUUCAAGGGGGUUGGCAGAGGUGAGAUAGGAGCCAUGGUGCACAGAGCUCCCUGGGCGGGAUCCUGUCUAUAGCACAGCGGUGACCACUACCCCUCCCAGGCACGCGGUGCCUUGCUCACUCAGAUAACAGAUACGGGUGGGGAGGUGGCAGAUCUCUGCCUGGUCACUAAUUCUGUGACAAAACGGGUGCUAAAGCCCUUCCCAAAGGCCCCAAAGUGCUGGCCGCUCCACCCACCAGCCCCAGCAAGUUGCUACUCAUCUGCCUUCCCUGCCGAGCCCUGACCGACCUUCCCAAGGGCUGGUAGAUCCUGCGUGGUCAACGCGGAGCUGAGCCCAGCACCACUUUGCCCACCUGAGCCUUGUCCAAGCACGCUCCGGCAGCUCGAGGAGCCCAUCCUGUCCUCGCCUCCCUGCCUUCAUGCGGCCAGGUUCCAACCAGCUGGUGACACAGCCCCCAGCCCCCACGUGCCAGCUGUGCCACAGCAGCACGACAGGCAACUCUCACAGAAGAAACUGACAGGUCUGAGCCCGAGGGAGGGAGGAUACGGCCAACGGCUGCCCCCACAGCACCGCGCUCCCGGAAACCUGGCAGUGGGGUUUGGGUGGGAGGGAGGGUGUGAAUGCCAGGGUGCAGGGUGAUGGGCGCUGAUGCACAGUGCAUCAUGAAGGGGGUGAGGCAGAGUCCCAGCCAUGGUGACACCACUCUGCCUGCAUAGCUGCUCCGCAGAGACUGUGCUCUGUCCCUUGUCUCCAGCAGGUCCAGCAGCUCUGGUUGUGGUGCUCAGUGACACGGCGGUGCUACACGGCACCGAACGGAUUAGGAGAUAAUCCGCUCUUUGGCACGUUCCCUGAGCCAGUCGCUGGACUUCGCAAAGCUGUCAGAGCCGGUGGGGAGGGGAGAGGACUGACACAUCUGUAGGCACAGCUGGCAUCACUGAUUCCUGGCAUCUUGUGGAUCAAACACAGUAACAGGAGCCCCAACAGCCCCUGUGCAGUGACUGGCCGGUGCAGCCAAGGGCCAGGGCUGAACACUCCAAAAAUCCUCAGUUCUGCGGUGUGUGCUCAUUGCUAUCACAAACGGCAAAUUCAUGAAAUCCCCAAGAUCAAGCUCCUCAAUUAACAAAGCAAAAACAUUUAACUGCAAAAUAAAAGUUUGCUGUCAAAAUAUUUUGGUGUAAUACAUUUUUUGCAGAAAGAUCAAAAGGUCUUCUGGAGCAAAAUUCUGCCAGAUUUCAAAAGCUGUUUGUUGGGGUUUUUUUCAUCUAAAAAUUAACCUGUAUUUUUUACAAAUUGAGCUGGUCAAAACUGAAAAAAACUCCUGAAUGCAAAGCUGUAAGUUCUGGCUCAGCCCAGAGAUCAGUGCCCUCAGCUGACAGCCUGGAAAUGAGCUUUUCGGCUGCUGCUCCCUGACAUCCCUGCUCUCCCCCAGCUUCUGCAGGAGCUGUGUCAGGGCAAAGGUCUCAAAGACAAUUCCCUUGCCUUCCUGUCAGGGUUUUUCCUUUUUGGAAUGGAAGUGACCCCCGAGGUGGGGGAAAAGUAUAAACAUUUGGGAUGCUCAUUUUAAGGAAACCAGGCUGCUCACAACUCAAAAUAGCUGUGAUUUCCCCCCUCCGGUUUGUGGCUCUAAGGGCACAUGCAAUGAUUCCUGAUUUUUAUUGUGUCCAGGGUCAGCUGCAUCUGAAGGCUGGAGGGAGCAGCAGCACUGCGAGACCCCCAGCCAGGCCAGCGGGUGCUGCCAGCCCCUGGCUGCAGCACAACCCCUCCCCAGUUCUGCCUGAGUUGAGCUCAACUGACAAACUUCUGUAAAGACGUGACACCUCCGUUGCUCAAGCGAACAUGCCAGCCCUCCUGCCCACAGCACGUUUGCCAGGCUGGUUGCACAUCAAGUUUAUUACUCAAUGAUAAAUUUGGCCAGGCACAGCUGUCUGACAGACGGGGAGGCAGAGCAUCCACUGCUCUGGAAUAACCGUGCCUCCCAUGCUGCUUGGGUCUCAGGAUCAGGCCCCGCACGUGUGAGCUGCAUAUGAACUGCAGAAUGUGCCUGGGAGUUCAGUUGAAGGGCAACACAAGGAUUUCCCCUCAAAAAGGAAAUGAAGCAAGGGCAGAAAAAGAGUAGCUGCAAUUCUGCGUGACGAUGAUGGCACACAGAAAAUGGCAGCUGAAGACCAAGGCUCUGAAGAGGACUUUCUCUCCUCCCCAGGAGCUCCAGGCCUCCCACCCACCAUAAAUACCCACCAGUUUGCUUUGCUGAGGAACAAGCUGGCAGCUGAAAGGAAUCCAGGAACAAUUCUUUGCUGGGGAACACAGAGGGAACCCCCUCCUCUGCAGCAGCAGGGCACAGCAAGGGCAGGCAGCCAUAAAGCACCAGCCAACCCACCUCUGGAAGGGACCCUGCACAGCUAAAAGGAUCAGAAAAGAGCAGCAACAAUCCAAAUGGGGUUUUUCCCCAUGAGGACAGCAGAAAGGAGCUGGACUGUUGCCUUCAUCAUGUCAAAGAUAAGAGGGGCAGCAGCUCAGGGGGGAGACUGUCCGCGCGAGAAGCAGAACAGUGCAGCACCGUUAACAGAUGGUGAACCCAGCGUGGAUGCUCUGGCUGCAGCGGGGCAACGAGGUGCAGAAAGGGAGGCCCUGUUCCAGUCCAUGGCAAAGCUGCCCGGGAACAUCAGUCCUGUACUUUCUGCUAGAUAAAAUUGAAGACAGAAGAGAACUAACCCCAGGGAGGAAGAACAAGCACCAGAUCAGCUCAAAUCGCAGGGAGCUGGGGCUAAUUUUCCCUCUGCAGGGUUCAGCGGGGGUGUUUGCCAGGUAGGCAGCAGCAGGACAGCGAUCACUGUCCUGCAGGAAAUUACCAGCCAGACAAGGGCACACAGAGCGUCAUGUUGUACAGCGUUUCAUUCUCCUUUUGCUCUCCAAAAACAGAUACUCUCCUCCCUCCCUAAUUCCUGACACAUUUGUUCUAGGCAUCUAUCUGUACCUACAAUUAUUAGCCACGCCAAAGGAUUUUGGUUAAUGCAAAUAAAAGGGAAAGAUUUUAUUCCACCUACAAA